CUAAGGCCGAUGGCGACCGGCGCACGGGUGAGUAACGCGUAUCCAACCUUCCCGUUGCUAGGGGAUAACCUUGCGAAAGUAAGACUAAUACCCUAUGAGGUUCUUCGCAGGCAUCUAAAGAGAACGAAAGAUUUAUCGGCAACGGAUGGGGAUGCGUCUGAUUAGGUUGUUGGCGGGGUAACGGCCCACCAAGCCUACGAUCAGUAGGGGUUCUGAGAGGAAGGUCCCCCACAUUGGAACUGAGACACGGUCCAA
rnacentral:rRNA from 1 species